rnacentral:lncRNA from 1 species
CUGUAUAUGCUCCCGCAGGGAGCAGAGUUGCGCAUACCUUUUCCGGCGCCGCUCGCAUUGCUAUUCGCCGAGCGCGAUCACGUGGUGCAAAAUGACGUCAAAUGAUCAAUCGCGCGCUCCGAAGCCAACUUUACGGACACAACGCCGACUCGUUUCUGUCAGUGCCAUCGAAAUUGCAAUCAGCGGACCGUCGAGAGCGCGUAGCAACGAUCGGCUCCUGGUGGCAGGCACGGUAUUCGAGUACAAUAAGUUAAUGACUUCGGUGAAGUGCUACGAAGCAGAUCAUUUUGACACUUGUAUUGCAGUGUGACGGGUUGCAGCGCACCAAACUGCGCAAAUCGCAUGGAAGGUGGCAAAGCUUUUUACGCGGUGCCGUGCGGACGGACGAGACCGGCCGGCUCCGAAAGGGGCCAGGAUAUGCGAGGUCCGUUCGCCUUCUUUACAGAGUGGCUUUGAAUUCACCCCCCCCCCAAGGCUCCAAGAACCAGCACGCAUCUCCUGCUGCCACUGGCCAUUGCUCAUCCAUUCCCUUGUACGAAACAAAAUUGAUCUAGAAGCUCGUG